GAGGUAGGUAAAGACGAAGGUAGUUAGUGGACGUAACGUAACUUGUCGACACAACGACCAAACAAAAAAGACCAACACAUGACGAAAGGGGAAAAGAACAUUAAGUGCUGAGUGACAAAACUAGUGGCGGACGGGUGAGUAACGCGUGGGACAACCUACCCAUAAGAGGGGGAUAACAGCUGGAAACGGCUGCUAAUACCGCAUAAGCUUACCGGGACACAUGUAUUGGUAAGUAAAGGAGGCUUAGGCUUUCGCUUAUGGAUGGGCCCGCGUCUGAUUAGCUAGUUGGUAGGGUAACGGCCUACCAAGGCGACGAUCAGUAGCCGGCCUGAGAGGGUGGACGGCCACACUGGGACUGAGACACGGCCCAGACUCCUACGGGAGGCAGCAGUGGGGAAUAUUGCGCAAUGGGGGAAACCCUGACGCAGCGACGCCGCGUGAGCGAAGAAGGCCUUCGGGUUGUAAAGCUCUGUUGUAAGGGACGAAGGAGCUGGGUAGUAACUGACCUGGCGGUGACGGUACCUUACCAGCAAGCCCCGGCUAACUACGUG
rnacentral:rRNA from 1 species